AACGAACGCUGGCGGCAUGCCUAACACAUGCAAGUCGAACGAGACCUUCGGGUCUAGUGGCGCACGGGUGCUUAACGCGUGGGAACCUGCCCUUAGGUUCGGAAUAACUCCCCGAAAGGGGUGCUAAUACCGGAUAAUGUCUUCGGACCAAAGAUUUAUCGCCUUUGGAUGGGCCCGCGUUGGAUUAGCUAGUUGGUAGGGUAAAAGCCUACCAAGGCGACGAUCCAUAGCUGGUCUGAGAGGAUGAUCAGCCACACUGGGACUGAGACACGGCCCAGACUCGUACGGGAGGGAGCAGUGGGGAACAUUGGACAAUGGGCGAAAGCCUGAUCCAGCCAUGCCGCGUGAGUGAUGAAGGCCUUAGGGUUGUAAAGCUCUUUUACCCGGGAUGAUAAUGACAGUAACGGGAGAAUAAGCUCCGGCUAACUCCGUG
rnacentral:rRNA from 1 species